rnacentral:rRNA from 1 species
CCUACGGGGGGCAGCAGUGGGGAAUUUUGCGCAAUGGGCUAACGCCUGACGCAGCAACGCCGCGUGGAGGAUGAAGGUCUUUGGAUUGUAAACUCCUGUCAGCAGGGAAAAAGGGACUGGACCUAAUACGUCCGGGACUUGAUUGUACCUGCAGAGGAAGCCCCGGCUAACUCUGUGCCAGCAGCCGCGGUAAUACAGAGGGGGCAAGCGUUAUUCGGAAUUAUUGGGCGUAAAGGGCGCGUAGGCGGCUUUGCAAGUGGCGGGUGAAAUCCCUCGGCUUAACCGAGGAACUGCCUGCCAGACUGUGAGGCUUGAGACCGGGAGAGGUGAGUGGAAUUCCCAGUGUAGCGGUGAAAUGCGUAGAUAUUGGGAGGAACACCAGUGGCGAAGGCGGCUCACUGGACCGGAACUGACGCUGAGGCGCGAAAGCGUGGGGAGCA